AUGUGCUUCUCCUCGGCCAAAGUGAUGAUGAAAUCUCUUAGUCUGAAGCAGACUAACAACUUGUCUGUCACGGCCUUCCUGAAGUGUGAAGAGCUGGAGCUGAAGAAGAGAGCAGCUAAAUUUGAAGGGAUAGACGGAGUGACCGUAAAGAGGUUAACACGAGCACUUGGGGACUUAACUCGAAGCCGAGGCUGGCGAAGACCGCUUCUAGUAACAGCCAAGCACAGGAGGCGUGACAGGCUGAACUAUUAUGCUCUGCGUUGUGGAGGGGAUCAAGCUGCUAUCUCCUCUACCUGCUCUCUCCUCUUCCACCUUUCCUGA
rnacentral:rRNA from 1 species